rnacentral:lncRNA from 1 species
AACGAUAGAGAUAGAAACCCUAUGAGAGAGAGAAAACCUGGGAUAGAGAUAAAAACCCUAGAAUGCUGAGAAGACAGGGAUUUGAGAGAAAAACUCAGAGACAAAACCCUAACUAACCUAAGCCUGUGAACCCUAGUUCUAAGCCAUUUCCAGGGCACAACCACCUUAUUCAAUUAAGACUCAAAGAGACAAAAGAGAAUCGGUUAUGAUACGGGCAAGCCCUAGAAGGCUCGGGAGUCUCGAGCCAUUCGGCCUUGUUUGGUAUCAUUUUCC